rnacentral:rRNA from 1 species
UGUAAGCGUAUACCAAAGUUGUUGCAGUUAAAACGCUCGUAGUCGGACUUUGGCAGUUCCGGAUGUGUGCACGUCGUGUGCGCACUUCGCGGGGAUUGCUUUUGUGGUCUUGCGUAGGAUGAGGCACUUUUAUUAGUGAACGUCCUCACGCAACCACUUUUUACUGUGAGAAAAUCAGAGUGCUCAAAGCAGGCAUUUGCCGUGAAUGUAUUAGCAUGGAAUAAUAGAAUAGGACUUGGUUCUAUUUUGUUGGUUUGUUGGGACUGAGUAAUGAUUAAGAGGGACAGUUGGAGGCAUUUGUAUUUCGGUGCUAGAGGUGAAAUUCUUAGAUUACCGAAAGACAAACUGCUGCGAAAGCGUCUGCCAAGGAUGUUUUCAUUGA